GCCAGGCAUGGUGGUGCAUCCCUGUAAUCCCAGAGACUCAGGAGGCUGAGGCAGGAGGAUCAUGAGUUUGAAACCAGCCUCAGCAACUUAGGGAGGCCCUAAGCAAUUUAGAGAGACCCUGUCUCAA
rnacentral:sRNA from 1 species